rnacentral:tRNA from 1 species
GGCUGAAUAGCUCAGUGGUAGAGCAGUCGCUCGGCAAGCGAAAGAUUCGGGUUCGAUUCCCGAUUCAGCGU